CCUACGGGAGGCAGCAGUGGGGAAUAUUGCACAAUGGGGGAAACCCUGAUGCAGCGACGCCGCGUGAGUGAAGCAGUCUUUCGGUAUGUAAAGCUCUAUCAGCAGGGAAGAAAAUGACGGUACCUGACUGAGAAGCUCCGGCUAACUACGUUCCAGCAGCCGCGGUAACACGUAGGGGGCAAGCGUUAUCCGGAUUUACUGGGUGUAAAGGGAGCGUAUACGGCCCGACAAGUCAGAAGUGAAAGCGCAGGGCUCAACCCUGGUACUGCUUUGGAAACUGCCGGGCUUGAGUGCAGGAGAGGUAAGCGGAAUUCGUGGUGUAGCGGUGAAAUGCGUAGAUAUUACGAGGAACACC
rnacentral:rRNA from 1 species